GAAAUGCGAUAAGUAAUGUGAAUUGCAGAAUCCAGUGAAUCAUCGAAUCUUUGAACGCACAUUGCGCCCGCCAGUAUUCUGGCGGGCAUGCCUGUUCGAGCGUCAUUUCAACCCUCAAGCUCUGCUUGGCGUUGGGGAUCGGCAGCCCGGCUUCGUGCCGCGCCGUCCCCCAAAUACAGUGGCGGUCACGCUGCAGCUUCCUUUGCGUAGUAGCACACCUCGCACCGGAGAGCAGCGCGGCCACGCCGUAAAACCCCCGACUUCUUGUUUUUGACCUCGAAUCAGGUAGGACUACCCGCUGAACUUAA
rnacentral:misc_RNA from 1 species